rnacentral:rRNA from 1 species
AACGAACGCUGGCGGCAUGCCUAACACAUGCAAGUCGAACGAGACCUUCGGGUCUAGUGGCGCACGGGUGCGUAACGCGUGGGAACCUGCCCUUAGGUUCGGAAUAACUCCCCGAAAGGGGUGCUAGUACCGGAUAAUGUCUUCGGACCAAAGAUUUAUCGCCUUUGGAUGGGCCCGCGUUGGAUUAGCUAGUUGGUAGGGUAAAAGCCUACCAAGGCGACGAUCCGUAGCUGGUCUGAGAGGAUGAUCAGCCACACUGGGACUGAGACACGGCCCAGACUCCUAAGGGAGGCAGAAGUGGGGAAUAUUGGACAUGGGGCGAGAGUCUGAUCGAGGCAUGCAGCGUGUGUGAAGAAGGUCUUCGGAUGUGAAAGCACAUUAAGUUGGGAGGAAGGGCAGGAAGUUAAUACCUUGCUGUUGUGACGGUACCAACAGAAUAAGCACCGGCUAACUUAGUG